CACAAGCAGUGGAGUAUGUGGUUUAAUUCGAAGCAACGCGAAGAACCUUUACCAGGGCUUGACAUCCCUUGAAGCAGCUAGAGAUAGCUGUGUCCUUCGGGACAAGGAGACAGGUGGUGCAUGGUUGUCGUCAGCUCGUGUCGUGAGAUGUUGGGUUAAGUCCCGCAACGAGCGCAACCCCUAUUGUUAGUUGCCAUCAUUCAGUUGGGCACUCUAGCGAGACUGCCGGUAAUAAACCGGAGGAAGUGGGAUGACGUCAAAUCAUCAUGCCCCUUAUGACCUGGGCUACACACGUGCUACAAUGGUUGGUACAACGAGUUGCGAGUCGGUGACGGCGAGCUAAUCUCUUAAAGCCAAUCUCAGUUCGGAUUGUAGGCUGCAACUCGCCUACAUGAAGUCGGAAUCGCUAGUAAUCGCGGAUCAGCACGCCGCGGUGAAUACGUUCCCGGGCCUU
rnacentral:rRNA from 1 species